CCUACGGGAGGCUGCAGUCGAGAAUCUUCGGCAAUGGGCGCAAGCCUGACCGAGCGACGCCGCGUGGAGGACGAAGGCCUUCGGGUUGUAAACUCCUGUUGGGGGGGAACAAGGGCCGGCGAAGAGCCGGCCUCGAGUGAUCCCCCGAGGAAGCACGGGCUAAGUUCGUGCCAGCAGCCGCGGUAAGACGAACCGUGCGAACGUUAUCCGGAAUCAUUGGGCUUAAAGGGCGCGUAGACGGGCGACCGCGUCGAGUGCGGAAAUCCCCCGGCUCAACCGGGGAGCAGGCCUCGAGACGGGUCGCCUCGAGUGGAGGAGAGGGAGCCGGAACCCACGGUGGAGCGGUGAAAUGCGUUGAGAUCGUGGGGAACGCCGACGGCGAAAGCAGGCUCCUGGACUCCGCCUGACGUUGAGGCGCGAAAGCCAGGGGAGCGAACGGG
rnacentral:rRNA from 1 species